ACAUAACCUUUAGCCAAACCAAUAUUAAAGGCAACACCUGCCCGGUGAACAAUUAAACGGCCGCGGUACCCUAACCGUGCAAAGGUAGCAUAAUCAUUUGUCUACUAAUUAUAGACCUGUAUGAAAGGUAAAAUGAGGGUCCAACUGUCUCUUAUAAUAAAUCAAUUAAACUGAUCCCCCAGUAAAAAAGCUGGGAUACCCACAUAAGACCAGAAGACCCUGUGAAGCUUAAACUAACAAUUAAACCAAAUAAUAACUACUUUCGGUUGGGGCGACCUUGGAAAAAAAAAGAACUNUCCAAAUACACGAUCUUACCUCGAACUAACAGGCCCACAAGCCACCAAAUAUUUGACCCAGCAAAGCU
rnacentral:rRNA from 1 species